UACAGAGGGUGCGAGCGUUAAUCGGAAUUACUGGGCGUAAAGCGUGCGUAGACGGUUAUUUAAGUCGGGUGUGAAAGCCCCGGGCUCAACCUGGGAAUUGCAUUCGAGACUGAAUAGCUAGGGUACGGUAGAGGGAAGCGGAAUUUCCGGUGUAGCGGUGAAAUGCGUAGAUAUCGGAAGGAACAUCGGUGGCGAAGGCGGCCUUCUGGACGGUGACUGACGCUGAGACGCGAAAGCGUGGGGAGCAAACAGG
rnacentral:rRNA from 1 species